GGUUGAUCCUGCCAGUAGUCAUAUGCUUGUCUCAAAGACUAAGCCAUGCAUGUCUAAGUAUAAACAAUUAUACAGUGAAACUGCGAACGGCUCAUUAAAUCAGUUAUCGUUUAUUUGAUAGUUUUCUACAUGGAUAACCGUGAUAACUUCAGAACUAAUACAUGACAGCCUUCUGGCGUAUAUAUUAGAUACAAACCAACAGUAUGGUGAUUCAUAAUAUCUUGUCGAACCGAUCUUCGGUGUAUCAUUCAAAUUUCUGCCCUAUCAACUGUCGAUGGUAGGAUCGUGGCCU
rnacentral:rRNA from 1 species